AAGUCCCGUAACGAGCGCAACCCUUGUCCUUAGUUACCAGCACCUCGGGUGGGCACUCUAAGGAGACUGCCGGUGACAAACCGGAGGAAGGUGGGGAUGACGUCAAGUCAUCAUGGCCCUUACGGCCAGGGCUACACACGUGCUACAAUGGUCGGUACAAAGGGUUGCCAAGCCGCGAGGUGGAGCUAAUCCCAUAAAACCGAUCGUAGUCCGGAUCGCAGUCUGCAACUCGACUGCGUGAAGUCGGAAUCGCUAGUAAUCGUGAAUCAGAAUGUCACGGUGAAUAUGUUCCCAAGCCUU
rnacentral:rRNA from 1 species